rnacentral:rRNA from 1 species
AUUGAACGCUGGCGGCAGGCCUAACACAUGCAAGUCGAGCGGAUGAAGGGAGCUUGCUCCUGGAUUCAGCGGCGGACGGGUGAGUAAUGCCUAGGAAUCUGCCUGGUAGUAGGGGAUAACGUCCGGAAACGGGCGCUAAUACCGCAUACGUCCUGAGGGAGAAAGUGGGGGAUCUUCGGACCUCACGCUAUCAGAUGAGCCUAGGUCGGACUAGCUAGUUGGUGGGGUAAAGGCCUACCAAGGCGACGAUCCGUAACUGGUCUGAGAGGAUGAUCAGUCACACUGGAACUGAGACACGGUCCAGACUCCUACGGGAGGCAGCAGUGGGGAAUAUUGGACAAUGGGCGAAAGCCUGAUCCAGCCAUGCCGCGUGUGUGAAGAAGGUCUUCGGAUUGUAAAGCACUUUAAGUUGGGAGGAAGGGCAGUAAGUUAAUACCUUGCUGUUUUGACGUUACCAACAGAAUAAGCUCCGGCUAACUUCGUG